rnacentral:rRNA from 1 species
GACAGAGGGUGCAAACGUUGUUCGGAAUUACUGGGCGUAAAGCGAGUGUAGGCGGUUUGGUAAGUCGGAUGUGAAAGCCCCGGGCUCAACUCGGGAAGUGCACUCGAUACUGCCAAGCUAGAGUAUCGGAGAGGUUGGUGGAAUUCUCGGUGUAGAGGUGAAAUUCGUAGAUAUCGAGAGGAACACCGGUGGCGAAGGCGGCCAACUGGACGAAUACUGACGCUAAGACUCGAAAGCGUGGGGAGCAAACAGG